rnacentral:rRNA from 1 species
GACGAACGCUGGCGGCGUGCUUAACACAUGCAAGUCGAACGAAGAGCGAUGGAAGCUUGCUUCUAUCAAUCUUAGUGGCGAACGGGUGAGUAACGCGUAAUCAACCUGCCCUUCAGAGGGGGACAACAGUUGGAAACGACUGCUAAUACCGCAUACGAUCUAAUCUCGGCAUCGAGGAUAGAUGAAAGGUGGCCUCUACAUGUAAGCUAUCACUGAAGGAGGGGAUUGCGUCUGAUUAGCUAGUUGGAGGGGUAACGGCCCACCAAGGCGAUGAUCAGUAGCCGGUCUGAGGGGAUGAACGGCCACAGUGGGACUGAGACACGGCCCAGACUCCUACGGGAGGCAGCAGUGGGGAAUCUUCCGCAAUGGACGAAAGUCUGACGGAGCAACGCCGCGGGAGUGAUGACGGCCUUCGGGUUGUAAAGCUCUGUUAAUCGGGACGAAAGGCCUUCUUGCGAAUAGUGAGAAGGAUUGACGGUACCGGAAUAGAAAGCCACGGCUAACUACGUG